UUUUGACAAGUCUCUUCAAUCUCUGCAAACAACUUCUCUCCUCACAGGGCUCAGAUGAAAAUCCAAAGUAACCAACUUCUUAAAAAUAGAUGCCAGUAGGCUGCCUGCCUUACCAAGUCACUGGACAUUUCCAGACAUGCCUGAUUCCCAGCCAAGAAGACAAAUUCUGCUCAGACUCGAAGCCCUGCUAUAAGACUAACAUGCACAGUGUGCCACAGGGCUUCCUUCUGAUUCAGCUCUGCGAGGUAAGGGAUGCUAGGUGCAAAAACACACAUGAUUCACCUGCCUCAUCAAGUCCCUUUGAAUUCUUCCAAUUCCCACUGGUGUUUAGAGAGGACCUAGAAUGCACAAGGCGCCAUAAUAGAUGCUUGAUGUAUAAAGAUGAAGAGGACACAGUCCCAGGGGAGCUACGAUGAAGCAGAGAAAGGAAUUCCAACAGCAGAUGCGUGACAAGAUGGAGCUGAUUAAAAGAAGACAAGCAAAGUCUCAGUGCCAGACCACUUCAGAGAUGAAGCAUUCCAGAAAGGCAUGUAAGAACUCCUGUCAGAAACAGGGAGGAUUUCACAGCCCCUCUUGCAUAUUAAUGAACUACAAGGAACCUCAGUGUAGUGGUGCAGAUGCAACAUUUCAGGAGCCGUGCCAGGAUUCCACGAUAAAUACCAGCUCCAGGGGAAAUACAUUUCAUGAUAGAAUUAGGGGAUCAGCCAUCUGAGACGUC
rnacentral:lncRNA from 1 species